GUCUAUGGUCAUACCACCCUGAAUGUGCCCGAUCUUCUUUAAUCUCAGAAGCUAAGCAGGGUCCGGACUGGUUAGUACUGGAAUGGGAAAAAUUGGCUUUGGGGAUAACACGGUGGCCUGGAAC
rnacentral:rRNA from 1 species